rnacentral:rRNA from 1 species
CAGUCGCCACGGGAAAACGUAGGGGGCAAGCGUUAUCCGGAAUUACUGGGUGUAAAGGGAGCGUAGACGGUUAAACAAGUCUGAAGUGAAAUGCCGGGGCUCAACCCCGGAGCUGCUUUGGGAACUGUAGAACUGGAGUGUCGGAGGGGUAAGCGGAAUUCCCAGUGUAGCGGUGAAAUGCGUAGAUAUUGGGAGGAACACCGGCGGCGAAGGCGGCUUACUGGACGACAACUGAUGUUGAGGCUCGAAGGCGUGGGUAGCAAACAGGAUUAGAUACCCGUGUAGUCCCUGUCUCUUAUAC